rnacentral:rRNA from 1 species
CACGUAGGGGCCAAGCGUUGUCCGGAUUCAUUGGGUGUAAAGAGCUCGUAGGCGGUUCAGUCAGUCGGGUGUGAAAUCUCCGGGCUCAACCCGGAGGGGCCACCCGAUACUGCUGUGACUCGAGUCCGGUAGGGGAGUGGGGAAUUCCUGGUGUAGCGGUGGAAUGCGCAGAUAUCAGGAGGAACACCGAUGGCGAAGGCAGUUCUCUGGGCCGUAACUGACGCUGAGGAGCGAAAGCGUGGGGAGCGAACAGG